GCAGAGACCGGACGCGCGGAGGGGCGUGGCCGGCUCAGUCCAGGUCGCAGGGGCGCGCAGGAGCUGGGAAGGGCGCGCCGGGGCAGGCGGUCAGCCGGCCCCGGUGAUUGGGACUGGGACUGUAGGGUCCCAGCGGGCAGAGAAAGCCAUUACCUGCCCUGGGGAGAAAGACAGUCUUGCCAGGUUGGCCGCCACCUCAGUAGAGACUUCUUCGUGGUUACCUGGCGUGCUCUGCCAGAUAGAGACUUCCUCUAAGCGGUAGUGACCUGUCGGGGACGUGGUGAAUGUGUAACCAGGAGUCCGCAACCCCAGGAGUCCGCAACCCCAGGAGUCCGACUGGAGGCCAACCCUAGGUGCGGGGAGGCGGGCUUACCGCGGGGGAGCUGAGCUCCGCUCAGAACCUGCCAGGCGCUCUUGGGGGGCCGAGCUGCUGUCGGCGGGACCGUCAGAAGCUCAGAUGUGCGGGCUCUGAGGAAGCCCCAGAGGACUAGAUAUUGGCAGCGCUGCUCGGCAUUCAGGGGACUGAGGCCCCUGGACCGGAAGCCCCUCUUGGCGGGUGUUUGUCUAAGGGAGAAGUUUCUAAAAGCCUAGGUGCAUUGGAGAUUCAUCUAAGGGAAAUGAAAGGAGAAGGAUUUCUUCCAAAAUAGGUCCUGCCCACACCUCCUCAGGUCAGUGGCACCUAAAAACACCUGGUACUUUCCUUUUUGUUCCUGAGCAGUGCCUCCCAUUUAGUGAUAAAUUAGGAUCCUCAGGGGCUGCCAGCCUCACAAGGAGUCCUGUUCCCCAGGACUGGCAGAGGACCAUAUGGGUGGGGACAGUGGCAUCACUGGAGGGACCAGUGGACAGGUAGACUCCUAGGCACAGCGUCAGGCCUAGAACAGUGGCCUAGCUCCCUGCAGAGGAGCCUAGAAAGGCCUAGGGUUGAGAAUCCAGCAUGACUCUGACAUUCCAGGGAGCAGUGACUUUGGGAACGAAGGGAUGUGGCAUGUUUGGAAGAGCCAGGCUUGGCGGAGGACCUUGGUCAGUCUGUGUCAUGGUAACUUUCCUUGGUAACUAGAGGCCAAGAACAAGAGCCAAUUUGUGUUUGAGUGUUGAGGGACUCAGCAGUAUAUAGGUGUUACUUUGAGAAAGUGCCAGUUUGGCACAGAUCAGUAGAGGCUUGAAAAGGUACCUUAGUUAAACACCCAUGAUGACACCUGUGACAUAUAACGCAUGUCUUCAAGGCGGAAGAGGCCUCAGAGGCUGCUGAACUGGUUUACCUUCUAGUGCCAACAAAGUGACCUCUCUGAUGGGACAUGUGUGGUGUUAGGGAAAGUUUAGUCAGGGUGGGCUGAGUUAGCUGUAGUAACGAAGAUGUCCCCACAUGCUUGUGACUAGCACAAUGAAGUUCAUCUCUCACUCAGACCUCCUGCCCAGCUUGUGCUGGUGAAGACUCAGCACCAGGUGGCAUUUGUAGAUCCAGGAUGCCUCACAGUGAAUAUGGAGGGUCAACUAUGUAUUUAUGGGAAAAAAAUCAAGGUAUAAGUGGACCCAUGUAGUUCAAACCCACAUUGUUUGAAGGUCACCUGUAUUCACAUCGAGCAACCAUCACUGUCAUCCAUCCACGUAACUCUUUUCAUCUUGCAAAACUGUAACUGUUUACUAACUCCCAUUCCUCUCACCCCCAGCCCCUGACAGCCUCUCUUCCAUCUUUUGUCUUUACGAAUUUGACAGCUCUGUGUCCUCAUGUGAAUGGAGUCACACACUUAUCCUUCUGUGAUGGGCUUAUUCCAUGGAGCAUCAUGUCCUCAGAGUUCAUCCAUGUUGUAGCACGUGUCAGAAUUUCCUUCCUGAUGUUCCACUCUGUUUUUACCACAUUUCCCAGCAAAUUCCCCUUUCAUGGGUUUACUAAGACCAAGCGUUUUAUGUUGAGUCACAUGGUUACCAUAUCUAGGACUCCUCAGCUUCUGGUGUGAAUUCUGAUCUCCAAGUGCAGUCAUUUCCCUUUUGCCUGAAGGAUUUCCCUUGGCAGAUCUGGAAGCACACGUCUGCUGGUGAUGAGUUUUUCCAGUUACCAUAUGUCUAAAAAAAGUAUUUUACCUCUGUUUCUGAGUGAUAUUUUUGCUAAGAUUAGAUUUCCAACUUAACAGUUUUUUCCCCUAUUACAAUGUUUUGGGGCUUACGUUGUUUCUUACAUUGUCUCCUGCUCACCUCAUCUUUAUUCCUGUGUAUGCCCUGUAUCUUUUAUCUCUGCCUGUUCCUAAGAUUUUAUCUUUAUCAUUGCUUGCAGCAGUUUGAUUAUGAUGUACUCUGAUGUGCCUUGAUGUGGUUUUUGACAUAGUCUUUGGCAAGUUUCAUUAAACUUCUUUGGUCUGCAAGUUUAUAGUGUUUAUCAGAUUUUUAGUUCUUUCAGUCAUUAUUUCUUGAGUUAUCUCCCUGUCCCUCCCUCUCUUCUGCAUUGAUGACCACAUCAUAUAAAUGUUGGGCCACUAGAAUUUGUUUAUAGCAAACUGCUGUUCUGUUCAUUUCUGGCCAGUCUUUCUUUUCUUGUUUCAUUUUGGAUAAUUCCAGUUGCCCCAUCUUCAAAGUCACACAUCCUUCCUCCAGUGUCUCAUCUGCUGUCCGUCCCAUCUGUAUAUUUUCCAUGUCAGACAUUAUUCAUCUCUAGAUGUUCACUUUGAGUGUAUGUAUGUGGUCCAUGCUCUGUCCUUAGCCUCACCUCUAGUGUCUUGAACCUGAGGAAUAUGUUUUAACAAUGGUUUUAGGAGUUUUCUGGCUUGGUGUUGUCACUGCUCUGACUCGGGUUUGAUCCUGGACCUGGGAACUUCCACAUGCCUCAGGUGCUGCCAAAAAUAAAUAAAUCAUGGUUUUAAGGUCAUUUUCUACUAAUUUUAUCAUCUGAGUAAUUUCUGAAACAGUUACUAUUGAUUGGCCUUUUUCCUCGUUACAAGUAAUAUUUUCAAUGCCAGGUAAUGUUUGAUUGGGUGCCAGACAUUAAGAACUUUACUUGUUUACUUAUAUAAAUAUUUAUAAGCUUCAUUCUGGGAUAUGGUUAAGCUACUUGGGAAGAGUUUGAUGUGCUCAGGUCCUAUUUUCAAGCCUCUAUGGGAGCCCAAAGCAGCAGUUUUGUCCAUUGCUGAGGCCAACCCCUUCCAUUGACUUGCCCCAUAUCCUUGGCUUAUGAGGCCGUGCUGAGAUUCUGGGGCUGGGAGCUCUCCUGGGCCCUGAGUGAGUGCUGGGGGUUCUUUCCUCCAGUCUUCACAGGUGACACUUCACCUGGCCCUAGGUAGCUUCCUUGCAGGACUGCCAGGUCAGUAGGUGAAGGCUUGAAGAGAGCCCACUCUGCACGCCUCUGCCUGCUCCCCGCUGCCCAGGGCCCCAAUGCCACCCCACUCUGCUCCCCAGCUCAGGAGUGCUGCUUCCUUGCAGGCUGUGGACUUCUGAUCCUCAUUCACUUCCUCAUUACUUGAUGUUAUCUAGUCACAGUGCUUUAAAUAUCUCAUAAAAAGCCCUUGCCUGGGCCUCUGCGUGCUAUUGCUCACUUGGCAUCUCCACUUGAAUGCCUAUUUCGCUUCUUAAUACUGACAAAAUAAAACCCAAGCAUCCUAAGUUCUCAAUAAACCUUUGCCCUCUGCAGGCUUUCCUGUCUAAGUAGAUAGCAGUUUGUUCAGGGCAAAACCUUGGGGUCCUCCUCCGUCACUCAUGCCUGUGUUUUAACCAUCAGCAAGUCCUCCUGGCUCCACCUUCAAAACCGCCUGCAAGACUGUGCCCCCCUCCCACACCUGCCCACCUCCCUGGUGUGCUGCCCCUAACUGGCCUCCCUGCCCCUUUCUGCUUAGAGCCCUUCGUCCCGUCUCUUAUGAGGCCUCUGAGACUUCCCUGGUCUGCCCCUCCUCUGGUGCUGGUCUCUUGACUCUGAUCACAUGGGCUUUCUUGAGUCUUGAACACACCAAGCAGGCUUUGGCCUCAGGGCAUUUGCCCGUGCUCCUUCCUCUGCCUGGAAUGCUCUUGUCUCAGGUGACUAUGUGGCUUCUACCCUCACAGCCCUCACAUGCUGCACAUAUGGCACCUUAUCUGUGAGGCCUUCCUUUUCAGAUAUAAAGUAGGUAUCCUUCCCCCCUCCCCUCACACACCCCCUACUUUGGGGGCUCCCAACAUUUACCGCACAUCAUUUCUUAGGAUGUUGUCUGCCCCUCUCUAGGCUGUAAGCUCUGUGAGGAAAGGGUGGUGUCUGUUUUGUUCCCUGCUCUGUCCCCAUGCCUAAAAUAGUAUUGGGCAUGUAGCAAACCCUCAGUAGUUACACAGCUUUUGAGUGAGUACAUAAAAUAAAACUCAGCAGCACUUUAUUAUUUGGAUUUAAUUUGAUGUGAUUAUCUGAAUUUUAAGCUUGUUGAUUUAUGGGAAAUUUGAUAAUCUCUCUUUUAUAUGCCACCUGUAAUUGUGGAAAGGCUGUAAUAAGACCAUUUGAGGAGUUCCCAUCAUGGAUCAGCAGAGAUGAAUCUGACUAUUAACCAUGAGGACACAGGUUCGAUCCCUGGCUUCACUCAGUGGGUUAAGGAUCUGGUGUUGCUGUGAGCUAUGGUGUAGUUCGCAGAUGCAGCUCGAAUCUGGCAUUGCUGUAGUUCUGGUGUAGGCCAGUGGCUACAUCUCCUAUUCGACCCCUAGCCUGGGAACCUCUGUAUGCCGUGGGUGUGGCCCUAAAAAGACAAAACAAACAAAAAAACCAUUCGAAAGAAUCAUUUAAUACUAUUUACUGAGGACUUAUUUAAACGCUAGUAUAGUGUUAGUGCUUUACGUAUGUUGUAAAACCCAGUCUUCACAACGAACUCAUGAGGUAGGUAUUAUACCAUUUUGAAUGGUUUAUUUUGCCGCAGUUCUCACUGCUGGUAUGUAUCAUUGUUGGCAUUUUUCUCUAAAGCCAAACUAAAUUAGACACGUCUCCUUUUCAUCUAUGAUGUAUAAAAGAAAAAAAGUACAGUAUGAAAACCUCCAAAACCAAGAGGUGUGACUUGAAAAGACAUCAAAUUAUUUAAAGUAAGGAAACCUAACAAAACCGAUACUCUGGGUGCUUUCUGUCACUUCCCUGGACCCUCACCCACCUGCCCAGGUACUUCUCCUCACUCUUCUCCUUUGCAGCCGAGGAUGCACCACACCUGCAUUUUCUUCUGCCCUAGAUGCUGGGUGUGCAUGGAGAUGCGAGUGGGAGAGUGUUUACAGGCACUGCUGAGACUUAAGUGUAAGCCCAGGCCUGUUGUGAGAUAGCAAACAACCCAGAAGUUAACAUCUGGUUCUGCAACACUAAUGUCCCCUAGAGCAUGUGACAGGAAUGUCCUGCAGAGGCUGAUGUAAGUACACAGUGUUCAGUGUUAAGUCCAGUUCAGUGGUGUGUUCAUUCUCCAUCUUCAUCUUUUAAUUUGAAAGUUGCCAGUUAAUCUGCCAUUAGUUCUGAUGGGAAUGCUUCUUUGUUUAUUUCUGCAUUGAACAGCAUUUAUAUUCAGAGACUAUUCAUGGGUUCUUUUAAUUUUUAUUCUGUAUUCAGAAGAAGAAGAUUUUCUGGUUCUUGUUUUCUUUUUAUUAUAUUUUCCCUAUCAGAUUAACUAUCUGCCUAAGGAUAUUAAAAUAUGUGUUUUCUUUCCAUUUUCAGCAAAAGUCCUAUAGAGUUAUCUUUCUUCUGCUUUUCUUUUUCUUUCCCAUACUGUGUUUCAAAUCAAAUGGACUCUUUUUAGCCUGGUUUCUUAAAAAGGUGGUUUGCAAAACAAGUGUUUUUUUCUUUUUCCUCUUGGAUUCACCAGCAAAUACAUUUAACCAGAAUUUUCUUUUAUUGGCAUUCCUGCCUUGGUGCAACAGAAUAAUUAGCAUCUUUGCAAUGCUGGGACAUAGGUUCGAUCCCUGGCCUGGCACAGUGGGUUAAGGAUCUGGUGUUGCUGCAGUUGUGGUGUAGGUCACAACUGUGGUUCGGAUCUGAUCCCUGGCCUUGGAAUUCCAUAUGCUGUAGGGAGGCCAAAAACAAACAAACAAAAACCCCAGAAUUUUCUUUUAUGGGUUGAUUUUUUUAACACUUUAAUCAGCUCUACUGAGGUAUAAUUUCCAUGUAGCAAAAUUCACCAAUUUUGUGUACAUUUUAAGGAGUUCUGACAAAUUUUACACAAUUGUGUAACAAACGACCACAACCAUCAUGAUAUGUCACUCCAGAAGCUUUUUGAUACUCUCUCCCAACCCUCUAGGCUGAUUUUUAAGUUCAGAUAGAAGAUUUUUGUCUUUCCUAUGGAAGAUAUGUCACAUUCCAUGAGAUCCAGGUGGGGUUUUCCCACUGCAGAGAACACCCACCAUGCCCCCUCCCCAAAUUCCGUCCUUUCUGUUUGUCUCCAUGUCACUAUCUGAGCCCAGACCUUGGCCAAUACCAUUUCUAGCCCUUAGCUUGGUAAAAUGUGCCUUUUAAUACAAGAGUAAGGAGAGCUAAGAGAAGAGCUUACUGGGUUUAGUGAUGUUCCCUGUGACUUUACAGGAAAGACUGAGGUCAGAGGCAUUAGAACUUCCCUUCCUUGGAGUUCCUGUCAUGGCUCAGUGGAAAUGAAUCUGACUAGGAUCCAUGAGGAUGCAGGUUCAAUCCCUGGCCUUGCUUAGUGGGUUAAGGAUCCAGUGUUGCCGUGAAUUGUGUUGUAGGUUGCAGAUGUGGUUCACAUCUGGCAUUACUGUGGCUGUGCACGCUAGCGGCUAUAGCUCUGAUUUGACCCCUACCCUGGGAUCCUCCAUAUACUGCAGGUGCAGCCCUAAAAAUACAAAAAAAGAAAAAGAAUUUUCCUUUCUUUUCCUGAAGAGAGUAGUCCAGGCCAGCAGAUGUACUGUGAAACAGUGUGAUGUUUGCACCAUCUCCCCUCUCUCUAUUGAUUUGUGAGGGCUGCUAUGCUGAAGUACCACAGACCAGGAGCUCAGAUAGCGCACGUUUCCGGUCUCUACAUCUUAGGGGCUGCACGGCUGAGGUCAAGGCUCCCUGCAAGGGCUGGGGGCGGGGGGUAGGGAUCUGUUCCACGCUGCCUAGGCUUCUGCUGGUCUGCUGGCAUCACCCCCACCUGUGCCUUCGCCUUCACACUGGCAGGUUGUGUGUGUGUGUGUGUGUAUUCAAACUUGCCCUUUUUAUAAGGAAACCAGUUGUAUUGGAUUAAGCCCACCCUAAGGACCUCAUCCUAGCUAAUUACAUUCACAGCAACCCUGGCCUGAAAAAAGGUCCCUUUCUGAGAUGUUGGGGUGAGUGUGGGGGGUGGGGGCACAGUUCAGCCCAUUUCAUUUUUUAUCAUGCACAUGCCCCACAGAAUGGUAAACACAACACAGCCAACAACUCUGUGCAUCAGGACAGGCCUGCUGUUUUUCCAGACAUGAGGAGAGGCUUUUGCUGAUUCUGAAACUGUGCCCCCUGGGGACUGGUGGGAACACUGACUUCUGGACCCUCUCUCCAGAGGGUCUGAUUCACCGAGUCUGUGUCAGGGCUCAGGGAUCCGUAUAUUUAACAAAGACCUUGGGGAGUUCCUUUUGUGGCUCAGUGGGAACAAAUCUGACUAGGAUCCAUGAGGACACAGGUUCGAUCGAUCCCUGACCUCACUCAGUGGGUUAAGGAUCCGAUAUUGCUGUGAGCAGUGGUGUAGGUCGAAGAUCUGGUGUUGCUGUGACUGUGGUGUAGGCCAGCAACUGUAGCUCCAAUUCGACCCCUAUCCUGGGAACCUCUGUAUGCCGUGGGUGUGGCCCUAAAAAGACAAAAAAACAAAAAACAAAAAA
rnacentral:lncRNA from 1 species